rnacentral:tRNA from 1 species
AACCCUGUAGUGAAAUUCAUGUUGAGUUGCAAACUCAUUGAUGUACACUAAGAGUGUACCGGGGUUU